CGAGACCUCAGGUCAGGCGGGACUACCCGCUGAGUUUAAGCAUAUCAAUAAGCGGAGGAAAAGAAACUAACAAGGAUUCC
rnacentral:rRNA from 1 species